UCUUAAGGUAAACGUACCAAUGGCUGGACAUUUAAGACGAUAUUUGUAUUCUAAUCUAAUUUUCACCGAUAUGCGUCGAUCGUUUUGGGGAAUGACGGUAAUCAAUCUCAAGGUUAGAGUCUCUAGUUUUCGAAACCCAUCCAUUAAAUUCUUUUGCGAUAGUUUGAAACAUAUUUAUUAACAAAAACGUUGGGAGAAAAAAAUGUACCAGUUACUGGACAGCUAUUUAUCGGUGUGUCCCGAUGUCCGGACAUCAGAUUAUCGUCAAAUGUUAGCCGGAGUGUCCAGUAAUUGGGUCUUGUCCAGCCAUUGGUACGUUUACCUUAUAUAAGGUUAUGUGGCACAAA